CUGGUUGAUCCUGCCAGUAGUCAUACGCUUGUCUCAAAGAUUAAGCCAUGCAUGUCUAAGUAUAAGCACUUGUACUGUGAAACUGCGAAUGGCUCAUUACAUCAGUUAUAGUUUACUUGAUAGUCCCUGCUACAUGGAUAACCGUAGUAACUCUAGAGCUAAUACAUGCGACAACCCCCGACGCAAGGAGGGGCGUAUUUAUUAGAUACAAACCAACCCCGCAAGGGCGACGGUGAAUCAUGAUAACUGAGCGGACCGCACGGCAGCAAUGCCGGCGGUGGUUCAUUCAAGUUUCUGCCCUAUCAGCUUUCGAUGGUAGGGUAUUGGCCUACCAUGGCGUUGACGGGUAACGGAGAAUUAGGGUUCGGUUCCGGAGAGGGGGCCUGAGAGAUGGCCACUAUUCGUACGCGAAGCAGCAGGCGCGAAAAUUACCCAAUCCCGACUCGGGGUGGUAGUGACAAGAAAUAUCAAUGCGGGGGGGUUUCCUCCUGCAAUUGGAAUGAGUACAACUUAAAUCCCUUAACAAGGAUCCAUUGGAGGGCAAGUCUGGUA
rnacentral:rRNA from 1 species